CUACGGGGGGCUCCAGUUAGGCAUAUUCUACAAUGCGCGAAAGCGUGAUAGAUUGAGUCAGAGUGCCUUUCUUUGAAAGGCUUUUGUGGAAUGUAAAAAGUUCUACGAAUAAGGACUGGGUAAGACUAGUGCCAGCCGGCGCGGUAAUACUAGCGGUCCAAGUCGCAGCCAUAUUUAUUGGGUCUAAAACAUCCGUAGCUUGUUUUAUAAGUUUCUUGUGAAAUUUUGUAUCUCAAAUACAAUAGCGUGCAGGAAAUACUGUAAGACUAGAGACCGGAAGACGCAAGGAGUACGUCCAAAGUAGCGGUAGAAUGUGUUAAUCUUGGACGGACUAACAAUAGCGAAGGCACCUUGCGAGGACGGUUCUGACAGUAAGGGAUGAAGGCUAGGGGCGCAAAACGGAUUAGAUACCCGGGUAGUC
rnacentral:rRNA from 1 species